rnacentral:rRNA from 1 species
UCGAGGAUCUUCCGCAAUGGGCGAAAGCCUGACGGAGCGACACCGCGUGCAGGAUGAAGGCCUUCGGGUUGUAAACUGCUGUCACGCUAUAGGAAUGUCUGGGCGUUAAUAGCGGCCAGGUUGACUAAAGCGAGAGGAAGCACCGGCUAACUCCGUGCCAGCAGCCGCGGUAAGACGGAGGGUGCAAACGUUGUUCGGAUUCACUGGGCAUAAAGCGCACGUAGGCGGCUCGUUAGUCAGACGUGAAAUCCCCCGGCUCAACCGGGGAAUGGCAUCUGAUACUGGCGGGCUCGAGGUCGAUAGGGGUGAGCGGAACUCCAGGUGGAGCGGUGAAAUGCGUAGAUAUCG